CAAGACGUAGCUAAAACAGGAUAGCACCUCUUUUACACUGAGGAGUAGCCCGUGCAAAUCGGACCGACUUGA
rnacentral:tRNA from 1 species